AUUGAACGCUGGCGGCAGGCCUAACACAUGCAAGUCGAGCGAGCGGCGGACGGGUGAGUACUGUCUGGGAAACUGCCUGAUGGCGGGGGAUAACUACUGGAAACGGUAGCUAAUACCGCAUACCAUCAGAUGUGCCCAGAGGGGAUUAGCUAGUCGGUGGGGUGACGGCCCACCUAGGCGACGAUCCCUAGCGGGUCUGAGAGGUUGACCGGCCACACUGGAACGGAGACACGGUCCAGACUCCUACGGGAGGCAGCAGUGGGGAAUCUUGGACAAUGGGCGCAAGCCUGAUGCAGCCAUGCCGCGUGUGUGAAGAAGGUCUUCGGGUUGUAAAGCACUGUCGGCGGGGAGGCGUUACCCGCAGAAGAAGCACCGGCUAACUCCGUGCCAGCAGCCGCGGUAAUAC
rnacentral:rRNA from 1 species